rnacentral:rRNA from 1 species
GACGAACGCUGGCGGCGUGCUUAACACAUGCAAGUCGAACGGAAAGGCCCUGCUUUUGUGGGGUGCUCGAGUGGCGAACGGGUGAGUAACACGUGAGUAACCUGCCCUUGACUUUGGGAUAACUUCAGGAAACUGGGGCUAAUACCGGAUAGUAGCUCCUGCUGCAUGGUGGGGGUUGGAAAGUUUCGGCGGUUGGGGAUGGACUCGCGGCUUAUCAGCUUGUUGGUGGGGUAGUGGCUUACCAAGGCUUUGACGGGUAGCCGGCCUGAGAGGGUGACCGGCCACAUUGGGACUGAGAUACGGCCCAGACUCCUACGGGAGGCAGCAGUGUGGAAUAUUGCACAAUGGGCGGAAGCCUGAUGCAGCAACGCCGCGUGCGGGAUGACGGCCUUCGGGUUGUAAACCGCUUUCGCCUGUGACGAAGCGUGGGUGACGGUAAUGGGUAAAGAAGCACCGGCUAACUACGUG